UGGCCGUUUUCCGGAUUACUGGGCGUAAGCGUGCGCAGGCGGUUUGUUAAGACCGAUGUGAAAUCCCCGGGCUCAACCUGGGAACUGCAUUGGUGACUGGCAAGCUAGAGUAUGGCAGAGGGGGGUAGAAUUCCACGUGUAGCAGUGAAAUGCGUAGAGAUGUGGAGGAAUACCGAUGGCGAAGGCAGCCCCCUGGGCCAAUACUGACGCUCAUGCACGAAAGCGUGGGGAGCAAACAGGAUUAGAUACCCUGGUAGUCCACGCCCUAAACGAUGUCAACUAGUUGUUGGGGAUUCAUUUCCUUAGUAACGUAGCUAACGCGUGAAGUUGACCGCCUGGGGAGUACGGUCGCAAGAUUAAAACUCAAAGGAAUUGACGGGGACCCGCACAAGCGGUGGAUGAUGUGGAUUAAUUCGAUGCAACGCGAAAAACCUUACCUACCCUUGACAUGGUCGGAAUCCCGCUGAGAGGUGGGAGUGCUCGAAAGAGAACCGGCGCACAGGUGCUGCAUGGCUGUCGUCAGCUCGUGUCGUGAGUUGUUGGGUUAAGUCCCGCAACGAACGCAACCCUUGUCCUUAGUUGCUACGCAAGAGCACUCUAAGGAGACUGCCGGUGACAAACCGGAGGAAGGUGGGGAUGACGUCAAGUCCUCAUGGCCCUUAUGUCCAGGGCUACACACGUGCUACAAUGGCCGGUACAAAGUGACGCGAUAGCGCAAGCUGGAGCAAAUCACAAAAAGCCGGUCUCAGUUCGGAUUGGAGUCUGCAACUCGACUCCAUGAAGCUGGAAUCGCUAGUAAUCGCGGAUCAGCACGCCGCGGUGAAUACGUUCCCGGGCCUUGUACACACCGCCCGUCACAUCACGAAAGUCGGGCUGUACCAGAAGUCGGUGUUCUAACCCGCAAGGGAAGAAGCCGCCUAACGUAUGGUCGGUAAUUGGGGUGAAGUCGUAACAAGGUAACC
rnacentral:rRNA from 1 species